UGCUUACACAUCAGUCGAGCGGCAGCGCGGGGGCACCCUGGCGGCGAGCGGCGGACGGGUAGUAAUGCAUCGGAACGUAUCCCGUAGUGGGGGACAACCCAGCGAAAGCUGGGCUAAUACCGCAUAUGCUCUACGGAGGAAAGCGGGGGACUUCGCAAGGAGCCUCGCGCUAUGGGAGCGGCCGAUGUCCGAUUAGCUAGUUGGUGGGGUAAAGGCUUACCAAGGCGACGAUCGGUAGCUGGUCUGAGAGGAUGAUCAGCCACACUGGGACUGAGACACGGCCCAGACUCCUACGGGAGGCAGCAGUGGGGAAUUUUUGGACAAUGGGGGCAAACCCUGAUCCAGCCAUGCCGCGUGCGGGAAGAAGGCCUUCGGGGUUGUAAACCGCUUUUGGUCGGGAAGAAAAGGGUUCUCUCUAACAGAGGGGACUUGUUGACGGGUACCGGGCAAGGAAUUAAGGCACCGGGCUUAACUAACGUUGCCAAGCAGCCGGGGGUAAUACGUAGGGUGCGAGCGUUAAUCGGGAAUUACUGGGCGUUAAAAGCGUGCGCAAGG
rnacentral:rRNA from 1 species